rnacentral:misc_RNA from 1 species
AGUGCGUCAACAGAAGAAUUCACCUUAUCAUCUAAUGAUUACAUAUCACCUUGCAUAAUGGAGAUGAAGAGAAUUCCAAAAUAUGCUUCGCUAGUUAUUGGGCACAAUGGCUUUGGGGAAUUCACUUUAUGGUAUGCUGCUCACAGGAUGUCAUUGGAAGUUAUUAUUUUGGCAAUAAAUGGAUCUAUAUUUACUCUAUUUCCUGGCUAGCAUUGCAGAAAACUUUACAGUUAUUUAAUUCUGAUAUCUCGAAAAAACUAAUUGCAUAGAAAAUCAGCCUUUUUCUAAGCAAGAUAAGAAAAUUGCCAUUUUCCUUUUGGCCCCCAUCCUCUUCGCCCCAAUCCUUUCACUUGGCAUGUCACUUGUUAAUUUCCCUUGUUAGCUUUUAUAAAUUUUAACUAGGUUUUUAAUAUAUAUUGUGUUCUAUAUCCUAAAAUUUGAACUUUUUUUUUUUUAAUUCCUCUUCAGUCCCAUUGGGAUUAAUAUAAUAAAUCUAUCUCUCAAAAGGAUAACGAUGUUAGGUUAUAGAUGAUAGGUUAUGUGACAUGAUUAAUUUUACUAAUACAUAAAAAGUUCAUUUUGACAUAAUUUUUGGAUUAU